UGGGGAAUAUUGCACAAUGGGCGGAAGCCUGAUGCAGCGACGCCGCGUGGGGGAUGAAGGCCUUCGGGUUGUAAACUCCUUUCGACAGGGACGAAGCUUUUGUGACGGUACCUGUAUAAGAAGCACCGGCUAACUACGUGCCAGCAGCCGCGGUAAUACGUAGGGUGCGAGCGUUGUCCGGAAUUACUGGGCGUAAAGAGCUCGUAGGUGGUUUGUCGCGUCGUCUGUGAAAUUCCGGGGCUUAACUCCGGGCGUGCAGGCGAUACGGGCUGACUUGAGUGCUGUAGGGGAGACUGGAAUUCCUGGUGUAGCGGUGAAGUGCGCAGAUAUCAGGAGGAACACCGAUGGCGAAGGCAGGUCUCUGGGCAGUAACUGACGCUGAGGAGCGAAAGCAUGGGUAGCGAACAGGAUUAGAUACCCUGGUAGUCCAUGCCGUAAACGGUGGGCGCUAGGUGUAGGGGGCUUCCACGUCUUCUGUGCCGUAGCUAACGCAUUAAGCGCCCCGCCUGGGGAGUACGGCCGCAAGGCU
rnacentral:rRNA from 1 species